rnacentral:rRNA from 1 species
AGUCACUGACAUUAGAUACCCGCGUAGUCCUAGCCGUAAACGAUACUCGCUAGGUGUCGGCCACGGUGCGACCGUUGUCGGUGCCGUAGGGAAGCCGUGAAGCGAGCCACCUGGGAAGUACGGCCGCAAGGCUGAAACUUAAAGGAAUUGGCGGGGGAGCACAACGACGGGUGGAGCUUGCGGUUUAAUUGGAUUCAACGCCGGAAAUCUUACCGGGACCGACAGCAACAUGAAGGCCAAGCUGAAGACUUUGCCGGAUUAGCUG